rnacentral:misc_RNA from 1 species
AACAUACCUAAACGUUGCUUCGGCGGGAAUAGACGGCCCCGUGAAACGGGCCGCCCCCGCCAGAGGACCCCUAACUCUGUUUCUAUAAUGUUUCUUCUGAGUAAAACAAGCAAAUAAAUUAAAACUUUCAACAACGGAUCUCUUGGCUCUGGCAUCGAUGAAGAACGCAGCGAAAUGCGAUAAGUAAUGUGAAUUGCAGAAUUCAGUGAAUCAUCGAAUCUUUGAACGCACAUUGCGCCCGCCAGUAUUCUGGCGGGCAUGCCUGUUCGAGCGUCAUUACAACCCUCAGGCCCCCGGGCCUGGCGUUGGGGAUCGGCGGCGGUCCCGCCGCAGCUUCCAUCGCGUAGUAGCUAACACCUCGCGACUGGAGAGCGGCGCGGCCACGCCGUAAAACACCCAACUCUUCUGAA